ACCCUUAGCGGGCUAAGUCGGCUCAGCCACUCGAACAAAAAAAAAGCAAUAUCUCGUCUCAACCUAAAAUGGACAUUCAUGAUAAAUAAAUAAAAAAACAAAUUUCAGAGGCAGUAACAUGUUUUUCUUCACUGUGCACUUAAAGGAUAUAAAAACAAUAAAUAAUAAAUAAAGGAAUACAUAUAGAGAGAGAUUGAACCCACCAUUAAGGUUUUAAAGAUAAUAUGUACGUGAGGAUCCCGAUCGUGUUGUUCAAAAGCAUACAUUUUCCUCUGUUGUUAAGAGAAAAAAAGUGAAAUCCGAUUGUUGAUGAGAGGUUGGGAUUCCCAUUUUGUUCUCACAACAACAGAGUAAAAAGUAAGCCAUCGGUCCUUAUGCACAGAGAAGAAGAGUACGCCAGCGAUCCAGAGAAGAGUAAGCCAUUGCUGGUAGAGAUAGAAGACUGCCUCUCAGUGGAAGUCAGAGUGAAUAACGAAAAAGAAAGAGCGGCUUGGCUUACUUAUACAGGCAGGCAAUUCCAGAUGCUAGGGUUAGGGUUGCG
rnacentral:lncRNA from 1 species